CGCCUAACACAUGCAAGUCGAACGAAGUAGCAAUACUUAGUGGCAGACGGGUGAGUAACAUGUGGGUAUCUGCCCUUUGGCCUGGAAUAACACGAGGAAACUUGUGCUAAUACCGGAUAAGUCUUUACGGAGAAAGCUUUAUGCACCAUUGGAUGAGCCCGCACUUGAUUAGUUUGUUGGUAGGGUAAUGGCCUACCAAGACUGUGAUCAAUAGCUGAUUUGAGAGGAUGAUCAGCCACAUUGGGACUGAGACACGGCCCAAACUCCUACGGGAGGCAGCAGUGGGGAAUCUUGCACAAUGGAGGAAACUCUGAUGCAGCGAUGCCGCGUGAGUGAAGAAGGCCUUUGGGUUGUAAAGCUCUUUCGUCGGGGAAGAAAAUGACUGUACCCGAAUAAGAAGGUCCGG
rnacentral:rRNA from 1 species